UACGUAGGUGGCAAGCGUUGUCCGGAUUUAUUGGGCGUAAAGCGAGCGCAGGCGGCUCCUUAAGUCUGAUGUGAAAGCCCACGGCUCAACCGUGGAAGGUCAUUGGAAACUGGGGAACUUGAGUGCAGAAGAGGAGAGUGGAAUUCCAUGUGUAGCGGUGAAAUGCGUAGAUAUAUGGAGGAACACCAGUGGCGAAGGCGACUCUCUGGUCUGUAACUGACGCUGAGGCUCGAAAGCGUGGGGAGCAAACAGGAUUA
rnacentral:rRNA from 1 species